rnacentral:misc_RNA from 1 species
CCGAGUUUACUAAACUCCCAACCCUUUGUGAACUUAUAAUUGUUGCUUCGGCGCCGCGCCCCGCGCCCCCUAGGGGGACGGACCCAGGCGCGCGCCGAGGACCCCAAACUCUUGGUUUUAUUUACGAAGUCUGAGUGGCCUUUUGGCAAACAAAUGAAUCA